rnacentral:rRNA from 1 species
UACGGAGGGUGCUAGCGUUGUUCGGAAUUACUGGGCGUAAAGGGCGCGUAGGUGGCCUGUUAAGUCGAACGUGAAAUCCCCGGGCUCAACCCGGGAACUGCGUCCGAGACUGGCAGGCUCGAAUCCGGGAGAGGGAUGUGGAAUUCCAGGUGUAGCGGUGAAAUGCGUAGAUAUCUGGAGGAACACCGGUGGCGAAGGCGGCAUCCUGGACCGGUAUUGACGCUGAGGCGCGAAAGCCAGGGGAGCAAACGGG